rnacentral:rRNA from 1 species
UACAGGGGGGGCAAGCGUUGUUCGGAAUUACUGGGCGUAAAGGGCUCGUAGGUGGCCAACUAAGUCAGACGUGAAAUCCCUCAGCUUAACUGGGGAACUGCGUCUGAUACUGGAUGGCUUGAGUUUGGGAGAGGGAUGCGGAAUUCCAGGUGUAGCGGUGAAAUGCGUAGAUAUCAGGAGGAACACCGAUGGCGAAGGCAGGUCUCUGGGCCAUAACUGACGCUGAGAAGCGAAAGCAUGGGGAGCGAACAGG